rnacentral:rRNA from 1 species
UGGGGAAUAUUGCACAAUGGGGGAAACCCUGAUGCAGCGACGCCGCGUGAGCGAAGAAGGCCUUCGGGUCGUAAAGCUCUUUUAUGAGGGAAGAUAAUGACGGUACCUCAAGAAAAAGCCCCGGCUAACUACGUGCCAGCAGCCGCGGUAAUACGUAGGGGGCUAGCGUUAUCCGGAUUUACUGGGCGUAAAGGGUGCGUAGGUGGUCCUUCAAGUCGGUGGUUAAAGGCUACGGCUCAACCGUAGUAAGCCGCCGAAACUGGAGGACUUGAGUGCAGGAGAGGAAAGUGGAAUUCCCAGUGUAGCGGUGAAAUGCGUAGAUAUUGGGAGGAACACCAGUAGCGAAGGCGGCUUUCUGGACUGCAACUGACACUGAGGCACGAAAGCGUGGGUAGCAAACAGG